GGGAUCUCAGGUGCCAGAGCCGGACAAUACCUUGCAGAGCUACUGCCAAUCAAAGUGGACCAUAUUGGACUAGAUCAUCCAGUGACAUGACUCCACUGACAGGAAGGAUAUAGUCAUUAUGGAGAUUCUUUAGAUGCUGGCAAAACUGUCCCCUUUGAAGUUUCUCCAUCACUGUCACCCUGGAGAUAAAGGGUACUCAAUCUUGACAUUCUAAUUGUGGAUACAAGAUAAAAGGCCGGAUUAGAAACUUCAUAACCUCAUGCAGAGAGAGAGAGAAAUGAGAUCACCAUGAGGUCAUUUCACUUCUGCUUUUGACAUACAAAUCUUGGAGCAAGACUAAGGUAGCAGAGGGUAAGGAGGCAUGCAAAUGGAGAGAGAAGAAUGGAGCACCAGGCUGGCCUACCAAUGAGAUGUGGUGAGGUGGACACCUCAGUGGACAGAUGCGUGGAGGUGGUAGCAGAGGGCAUCCCAUGUCUAUGCCCACCAGCCAUCUCAGCUGGCCACCCUGUCCCUUCUCAACCUGGUGGCCUCUGUACCUGUUUUGGAUGAGAUCAUUAUGUUUUCCCUGCCUAGAGCAGCAAGAUGAGUGGACACACUUCCUGCCAAUCUGUUCCCCAUCCUUUUUUUCUUUACAAAAGGCUGGAAAAGUAGAACAAGCUCAGCCAGAGAAGGAGCAGAAGUAGAAGUGGUGUGAAGCAAGGAAAUCAGGAACUAGAACUUCAAGAUUAAGGAUGAGAAGAAUGUUAUCACCAGAGAAGAGCAAGACACUGUACAUAGUUCUGGUCCCUGACCAGAACAAGACCUCCUCAGCCCACUGUAAGGAAUCUGGAGUCUGGAAGUGAGACCCCAGUUCUCCAGUUUAUUUCCUGGCACAAGGAAAUAAACUGGUCAGGGUUUAACCAAGGUGACCAAGACAGUUUCUGUCCCAAAACCAGACUGGAAAUCAGAUGGGAAUUUAUCUAAAUAAUUGAUAUCAUCCAGAACAAUCUGGCAAUGAGAUGAUACCAUGUGCUCCCACACCUUACCCCAAGAUAGCAAAUUUGAUACUAGAUGAUAUUUGGUCAAAUCAGCUGGAUCUAGGGUGGAUUAGCCCUAUAGAGACAUGGACUCUGUGCUGUCUUAUCAGACUAAGCAAGUUGUCUUUAGAGGGAAACUGCUGUUGGCCUGCGUGCUACCCACCCUCUUGCAUGAUCUUUGGUGCAAUUGUCUGUAUGUCUAGUGUUUCUAGUAUUCUUGUUCCCUGAUUUGCGAAUGCAAGAGCCAGGUAUACUUUAAGUGUAGCUUCCUGGAUGGUUGUUCUCACAGUCAGAAUGCAGGCCGGCCGGCUUAUAAAGCCUCUUAGGAGACAACUGAUGUUAUUGGUGGUACUAGCAAAGCUAUCUACAACUGAGGCUGACUGGGUAGGAAAGCAGGGAGAGAUUUAAGUGGUUGCAGCUGUUCUUCUAUGUAUAGACACAAACUGUGAUAUAUCACAA